rnacentral:rRNA from 1 species
GACGAACCGUCCAAACGUUAUUCGGAAUCACUGGGCUUACAGAGUUCGUAGGCGGUCUGGAAAGUUGGGUGUGAAAUCCCUCGGCUCAACCGAGGAACUGCGCUCAAAACUACCCGACUCGAGGGAGAUAGAGGAAAGCGGAACUGAUGGUGGAGCGGUGAAAUGCGUUGAUAUCAUCAGGAACACCGGUGGCGAAAGCGGCUCACUGGGUCUCUUCUGACGCUCAGGCACGAAAGCUAGGGGAGCAAAACGGG